CGCAUUGGGGAAGGGAGUGAAAGAUGAUGUCAACUUUUACAUGCCUCGCUAAAUAUUGAAGCUUGAUCAGUCCGUCGUUAUAUAAGGCACAACGUUCCAACAACCGAAACAAUUAGCUGAAACUAAUCCCAAGUAAUCAAUCAUGCAACGCUUUACUCACAAUUACAAACGAUUCUCUACUCUCUGAUAAAUAUGUAAGAUAUCAUCUCUGAUAUCAUUGCAAAUUGUGCCAUUCAAAUUUUACCGAUAAGCUUAUAUCCAGAAGAGUUAUUCCAAAGCGGAACCUUGUCAGUAAUAAUAUGUAUAUGUUUAUUCUGUCCUGCUCUAUAUUUAUUCACAACGGAGGAAGUCCUUGGUUCCUGAUAAACAAUACAAGCAGGAACAUGUUGGACUCACUUGAAAAUAAAUUUAACCCGGGAGAAGGUCAAUGAACGAAAAGUGGAAAACCUAUUAAUUGCUACACUACACUUUCAAAGGACAAGUGAGACUUUGAUUUGAUUUAAACCUUUACUCAAGUGUUAAUAGAAAUCAGUUUACAAAAACUGGAUCAAAUUCAAUUUAAAUCGUCCUUUAAAUUCUGGUAAUUAAUUAACAUUCCUUAACAUAAUUCCGAACAAACUAAAUAUGCCUUCAUUACUUUAUCACUGAACUUUGGUUAAUGCGCAAUCAGAUAAAACUGGAUUAUCCGUGUCCCAAAUAAUUACGAACAUAUAUAAUCAAUCAAACAGAUAUUUUCACAACCACAUAUUUACAAACUUCAAACGAAUUCCCACUGAUUGAUAAAUUUGCUCGAUAUUAGGUCCUCUCAAAGCUCUAAAAAAGAUCUGAUUUUUCUGCUCAUCGCUCAUUCUGAUCAUUUCUGCUCGGCUGUGCGCAUGCGAUUUCGCUCAAAAUCAGAUUUUCUUGCUCAACAAAAAAAUCGAGUUUUGGGUUGAUUUUUUCUCUCAUAAUCCUGCUCAUUCUGCUCCACAUCAGCACAUCAGUUGUUUGUUUACUUCAAUUUUUCGUUUAAAAAUUAAGUAAAGUUCUCUAAAACAUAUUCUUUAUCAUUAUGGGUCCCAAGACCCAGGUUAAGUGUACCACUGUCGAAAAAGUUGCAAAUCCCGUAAUUUGUUGUAACAAAAGUAGCGUCGUGGAGGUAGGUGGCCGAAAAAUAUUUCGCUGGACAGCACAAGUAAAAAUUGACAUGGCAUAUUAUGUCGUCAACAAUAACACCUCAUUUAAGCAGGUGACCAACCGCACUAAAUUCCUUCGUCGUCUCCAAUAUGCUUUGCCCUUAAUUGCGAAGAAAGUCAAAUAAAAAAUGGAUUUGACAGAUUUCUUAAAACGUACACAGAGACUAAAGAGAAGUUAAACCAGUCGGGUUUUGGGAUUGACCCUGAGAAAGACGAAACUCUGGACAAAAGUGCGGUCAUUUCUUUCAAUUACAUCAAAUCUAAUGAUUUUCAAUGCGAUAAAAUUACGAUUCAGCGAAGCCGAAAUAAAAAUACUGGAACUCAAAAUUAAAUUGGAAACUAUUA